rnacentral:misc_RNA from 1 species
CUUUCUUGAAUUACUCUUUGGGCAAUAACCGGCUGAGAAGGGCCAAAGAAUGACCCAUAAUUAUCAGAAGGAAGUUUCUUCUUUAUCUCCUGGGAUUUGGAAACAGCAGGACCAUUUUCCCUCUGCAUUUUCUUCCUAAUUUGUUCUUUAAUUCGUUGCCUUAAUUCAAGAUAUUCAAUUGCCUCUGCACUUGGUUUUUGCUCUUCUUCCUCCUCAUAUUCCUCCUCCUCACCUUCUUCCUGUUGUUCAUAUCCUUCCUCCUCAUAUUCAUCAUAAUCUUCAAAAUCAUCUCUUUCAUAUCCCCGCAUUGCAGCUUAUUAUCUCCACUUCAAUCAAUCCAGAGAGCAGAGAGAAUUGCACCUUACAACUACUCAAAUUUUCUCCAGAUUCGAUGAAACUGGAUCGAAAUUGAGCGAUUUUCGAACUCGAAUCCAAACGCAGAUCUCGAAAAUGGCCGAAACGAACCGAAACGCGAAGAGAUAGCAAAGCGAUCUCUUAGAUCUAUAUGGCAAAGAG